UCAAUAAGCGGAGGAAAAGAAACUAACAAGGAUUCCCCUAGUAACUGCGAGUGAAGCGGGAAAAGCUCAAAUUUAAAAUCUGGCGGUCUUUGGCCGUCCGAGUUGUAAUUUAGAGAAGCGUCUUCCGCGCCGGUCCGUGCACAAGUCUCCUGGAAUGGAGCGUCAUAGAGGGUGAGAAUCCCGUCUUUGGCACGGAUGCCCGGUGCUUCUGUGAUGCGCUCUCGAAGAGUCGAGUUGUUUGGGAAUGCAGCUCAAAAUGGGUGGUGAACUCCAUCUAAAGCUAAAUAUUGGCGAGAGACCGAUAGCGAACAAGUACCGUGAGGGAAAGAUGAAAAGCACUUUGGAAAGAGAGUGAAACAGUACGUGAAAUUGUUGAAAGGGAAACGCUUGAAGUCAGUCGCGUCGACCGAGACUCAACCUUGCCUUGGCUUGGUGUACUUCUCGGGCCGACGGGUCAGCGUCAAUUUUGCUCCUCGGAUAAUGGCAAGGGAAAGGUGGCACCUUUACGGGUGUGUUAUAGUCUCCUGUCGCAUGCGAGGGGUGGGAUUGAGGAACUCAGCGCGCACAUUGGUGUCGGGGCUUCUGCCCACGUCACGCGCUUAGGAUGCUGGCGUAAUGGCUUUAAACGACCCGUCUUGAAACA
rnacentral:rRNA from 1 species